UCCCCACCAGAUGAAGGACAGAGAAGCGACCGUCUCUGAGCAGGUGUAUAUUCCACAAUAUAAACCAGGAUGUAGAGGAUUAUAUAGAUUAACCCUAUUGUUAAUUGUUAGUGAGAAUGAAGUUGCUCUCAACCUCAACCAGGGUCUACUCUGGACUAUUCUCCUCCCCGGGAGAGACCUGGCAAUAUUUGGAAACGUUUUUGGUUGUCACAGCCGCUAGGGAGGGAGCAACUGUUGCUACUGCUAUCUGGUGAAUUGGACCCGGGAGGCUGCUAAGUAUCUGCAACACGCAGGACAGCCCCACAAUAAAGAACAAUCCAGCCCCAAACGUCGGGACUUUUCGGGUUGGAAAAUCCUGGAUAAAAGACAGAGAGAUAGAGCAUGAGCGUGGGAGAGGCAGAGAGAAGGAGGCACACAAUCCGAAGCAGGCUCCAGACUCUGAGCUGUCAGCACAGAGCCCGAUGCGGGGCUCAAACCCAUCAACUGUGAGAUCAUGACCUGAGCCGAAGUUGGAUGAUGCUUAACCGACUGAGCCACCCAAGUGCCCCAUGCGUGCACACUUUUAAGCCAGCAAGUCUGGCUUAUUUGUUAUAGCAACAAGUAGAAACUAACCAAAUGCCCAAGCCAGACGAUGCAAAUCCCCUGCAA